GGUUAGCAAGAGACAUGCCAUUGUCAAGAAGUCUACCUCCCCAAAAGCAGAUGCAUGAAGUGCAUGCUGCUCAGUGUCAAAGUACAACGAUGUCUUCCCCAUCAACAGAGGCAAUGAAGCUGAAGUGAGAUCAACCAAUCAACAAUCAACAAAGUGAAUGAUGUCUAUACUUUGUACAUCGAGCUUGUAUUGAAAAUGCCCUUUCUGCUAAUAAGGCAUGCUAUCUGCAAAUAAAUUGCUGCUAGAUUCCUCUGCCUACCAUCAUACCAAUGUCUACACAUCACCAACGUAGAUAUGUGAAGCUGACAACCAAGCAUGAGGAAGCUGAUAUGCUACAAGCAAUUGUGUAGCAAAUAACUUUUGCGAUACAAUCUUGAUGGCUUGAGAGGAGAGCAACUCUUCAAGGCAUUCUACGCAUCAAGGAAUCAUGGAUGAACAACCCCAUAACUUGUAAAAUCAAAUGUAUACCGUAGAUGCAAUCUGUACUUCACGUAUGUUUUUGUAAAAAGUAAGUGCACCAUUUGCAAGCAAGCACACAAUGUGUAUUUUAAAAACACCCAAGUCAGCGAUCUAUGGUAGUGAGUGAAGUAAAAGCAGUGAUGCUAUGGUUUGAUUAGUGGCUGUGCGGUGGUUCAAUGAAU